AAACAAAGGAACAAAAGUUGUCACUGGGGCAGUACCUUUUCAAAAGGCACACCUUUGUACCUGAAGAGUCCAUAUUGUUACCUUAAUGGUACAUAUUAGUACCUAAAGUGUACGUAUAAGUACCUAAAAGGUGCAAUAGUGUACUUUUGAAAAGGUACCGCCCCAGUGUGAGCAUUUGUACCUUUUAUACUGAGAGUGUGUAGGCUUUUUUGUAAUAGACAUCCUUCAGUGAGGUUUAGGCAUUUUGAAAGAAAUCAAGGAGUGUACUGUAUGUGAAACAGUUAAUUAAGAUAUUGUUUACGUUUGAGUAAUAUUACCUCCAGUGGCUUUUCUCUCCUAAUAUGGCCAGGAUACUUCCUUCUCUGUAAUGAUUUUGGCCUGAAUCUCAGCUAGGCAAAGGCAACAGUGGAAUGGAAAUAGUAUUUGGGCCAAGAUUUAGCAGUACUGGCAGACUACCAGCCAUAAUGCGUUUGGUGUUUGAUUAAUUGCUUUUUCUUAAGAAGCUGCCCUUCCUAACUCUGGUUUUACUGUUUAUGAUGGUUCAGGUCAAGACACAACUAGAAGAAUAUGGCUAUUUAAAAAACUGUUAGACGCCAACCCUUUGUCUUUUAUUGUGAAUACAUGAAGCUCAGUGCCAAAACUGUGAUUGCAAAACACGGCACUUGAGUCCCGGAAUCAGGCUGUAGUAAAAGAUGAUUACCGUUAACCUCCCAUCUUCCUGUUAAUGGCCUGCAGCAGACAUGAUUAAAAGGUGCUACUUGUGAGUCUGUGAACUAACAAAUGCUGAGUUAUAUAUCAAGCUGCAUAGCUGUAGGUCUGGAUGACUGAGGCCUGUGAUUUGAAUGAUGGUAUGCAGCACAUAAAGUCUUCAGCUAGGAACAAAUUUUGUCACAUCUUACAAACUGAAGACUCUGGCCCUACGGUGCUAAGUUCAGCAAAGCAUGCAGGAAGGGACGAAAAACAAAGAACAAAAUUCUCUACUUCAUGCAGCACACUGAGGUAAAUGCUAUUUUUGUUAAAGAUCUUCACAGCUGCUUCCUUUGAUUUUUACUGUUCAGCAAUAAUUACGUAAGAGUGAACAUUGUGUCACAGAUUGUUUUGUUGCAUGACGUCAUUCUCUCAGAAAUGAAAGCUGAAUGCUGCUUUUAUAAAAUAAUAAAUAACAAAUUCAUGAUUCUAGAGACA
ensembl:lncRNA